GGUUGAACACGAACGGAGACAGGGAAAGAAACUGGACUUGUCAAAGUGGACGUCACUGUAUCCAGAGAACAUCCCAAAGCAGACUAACAGCAGUGACUGUGGGGUAUUUGCCUGCCAGUAUGCGGAGUGUGAAACCAGAGAUGCCGCAAUAACCUUCACACAGGCCGACAUUCCCAAGUUCAGGAGACAAAUGGCGUCGGAAAUCAAGAACAAGAAGUUGGAAAGUCCUCCGUAGACAAUGUCAUAUACCUCCUGCUGUUAAUAUAGACUCUUCCAAGUGUGUCAUCAUCUUCACGCUAUUUGGUCAGACAGAAAUUGAGGCUUUGCACUGACUCGGUAAUGAGGUUUUAACCAUGUUUGUCAGCGAGGCUUGAGGAUCAACCUAGUCAAAUUCUAUGCACAAAAUUGAUGUAUGUUAAAAUUGUAGCGUUAGCACUCUGGUUUCAGUGGAAAGACCUGAGUUGAAGUCAUAAGUUUAGUUUAUUGUCUACGAAUCUUUCAAUUCAGUCGUUAGAGUGUAAAACCCGCUGAGACAGGGUGACCUCAUAUUUCAGCGCCAGUUUAUGAUACUAGUAUCCUUACAACGUCACGAUUUUUGUGAAUUUUCCCCUUUCUUUACCUUUCAUUAGCACGAUGAUUUUUGUCGAAGUUCUGUGUGCAAUUAUGUGUUUAUGAAUCAUCUUUUGCCGGCCUUCGCCUCUCAGGUGACGUUUAAGGCUAACGUCACAUUUCCACAAAGGGGCCCGGCCGGGCAGCUUUCGUGAACGAAAAGUAGGAAAUUAAAGACAACAAAACACACAGAAAGUAAAAUUAUUAAUCAUGGGUAUGAUUUGUAUAUAUCCAAUUUUUUUGUCCAUUUUUCGCAAACAUCCCGGCCGGGCACCGGCUUGGAAAUGUGACGUCGGUCUAACGAUCGCAUCUUAAUCCCCUGAAUUAAAACUUAAUUGAAAACCUUCCCCUAUCGUUAUUGGGACGAUUCGCUCAUGCAGUGCACGGCCUUCGAAAACGCAUAUGUCAACUUCGUGCUGGGCGUGGCCAGUGCCCACCUAAAUACUGGUUGUUGCAAAAGGUCGAUAAUAGUCGUUGACGCAUGUUAAUUACUUACUCUAGAAUAUAUAUAACAGACUUUUUUGGCCAUGCUCGGAGUUUCGAGAUGCCAAUACUUGCAGCUGUACAGUGUAGACUGAAUAAGAAGGAGUAGUGACAGAAUGUGCUCUAUAUAUUGUGUGUUAAUAAAAUCCCUUGAACCUUGA